rnacentral:ncRNA from 1 species
UGAAUGGCUUAGAUGGGAAAGAGUAGGUUUUGAAAGCCUUCAGAGAGGGUGGCUGAUACGCUGUGAGGCCGCCUAGGCAGAAGAAGCUGAACGUCGUCCCGGAGUCGUCUGUCCGAACGCGCGAUUUGGCGUGUCCAGUAGGGCUGACCGGUGAAUCCGUUAUCUUCCCAAGCGCGCAGGACGGCUGUCUUGCGAACUAAAGGUGGUACCGCGGAAGCAACGUCUCUUUCGUCCUUUUU